ACCGUGAGUUUAUCUUUCUCUACAAUAAUAUUCAAGAUAAUAACCAAACACUGCAAAAUUUCCUUUAAAUAACCAGUUAAGUAGCAGCAACCCAACAAUGGGUUGUUCGGUUUGUCUGAAAAUUGUUAGAUUUGCUCUAAAUGCUUCAGUUUCUGAGAUUUAAGUAAGCAACUGAAUUUGACCCCUAUGUUCUAUUUUUAGCUAU
rnacentral:lncRNA from 1 species